GCGGGUUUAGCUCAGUUGGGAGAGCGUCAGACUGAAGUCCCACUUCACUCAAACCUGAAACAAGGUAAUCUGAAGGUCGUGUGUUCGAUCCACACAAACCGCA